GCAGCUUUUUAGGGAAGCAGAUGAAGUAUUUAGUGUUUCAUCCUGUUACUUGAAGCUGUCAGCCCAUGCUGAAUUUCUUGGUUGAUGUGAGCCUCUAACCUGUGCCCUGAGGUUUCUGGAAAGAAUAUUUGCAGUACCCCUGGACUGUUAAAGGAUAUGCCUGAUCCUGGAACCUCUUCUCUCACAUAUGGGAGCUUCAAAGAGGAAGGUGUAUGACCAUAUAGAAGCCUUGUGACCAGCUGAAUUAUUAGACAGCACACCACAAAAACCUUGUUCAUCAUCUCUCUAGAGGCAGAAAUUUGCUUUAUGACAAAACCUUCCUUAGGAAGAGGACACAUUACCCUUGGAGCAAGAGAAAACAUAUACUGAAGUGAAAGCAUGUCAAAGAAACCUGUGGGUGAAGAGGGAGAGAGGAGAGGAAGAUGAUAAAUUGAGCUGGACAGCAGCUGGCCUUUGAGAAGCUGCAAGGACUGCCAGUGAGAGAGGGAAGAAGCCAGCCCACCCCCAGGCCAUGGUGCGUCAGUGCCGUGCAUCACCAAUGGCAGCAUCACCCACACACACGGAAUGAUGACAGCCCAACAGAGGUGAGAGUCACCUCGUUCCUCUGUCGUGCUGUUGGAAGACAUGCUAACAACACAGAGGAGCAGAUUUUUGAGGAAAUAGUUCUGGUAAAGUUUCUUCAGAGAACUAGAUGUGGACCGAAAAUGAUUGUGUGGCCUUUUUGUUUGACAUCAUUUUGUUUGGCUUUUAAAGUACAU